rnacentral:rRNA from 1 species
CGGGUGAGUAACGCGUGGAUAACCUGCCUCACACUGGGGGAUGACAGUUAGAAAUGGCUGCUAAUACCGCAUAAGCGCACAGUACCGCAUGGUACGGUGUGAAAAACCCAGGUGGUGUGAGAUGGAUCCGCGUCUGAUUAGCCAGUUGGCGGGGUAACGGCCCACCAAAGCGACGAUCAGUAGCCGACCUGAGAGGGUGACCGGCCACAUUGGGACUGAGACACGGCCCAA